CCUCAAACUACCAUGCGGUGCUCACUUCCGUUGUGCCGUCAGCAGGAUCCCCUCCUCGGCGCCGCUCACUGGCUCGUAGCGGAGGGCGAGCUGCUGCACCAUCGGGUCUGGGUUCUCCUGCAGCAUUUUCUUGAAGAUACACUUAAACACAAGAUGUUGGUGACUUCAAACCUGUUGCAGUGUGUUGAUGGGCGUCUGGGCGAGGGGGAUGGUGAGGAAGGCGGUGAGGGAGGAGCGGUACACAGCGGUGAGCAGCAGCCCGUACCACACCCACAUGAUGAAGUAACCCCGCGUGGCGUUGCUCCGCGGCACCUGGUGAGGGAGGCAGUGGCGCACUAAGGAGGAGAGGGAGGGGACGGUCCGGGUGACAGACAGAAGGGAGUGCCAAGGGAAUCAUACAUGAAUAUACAAAUGUAUGUUCGCAUGUCCUCUAUAGACUUUUUGUGGAUAACAUCAAAGUACAGCUUAUGAGCAAACAGAGAGUGGUGCGACUGUCAUUUGAACUGUGCCUCAUCAUCAGUCUUGUUUUCGAAUUCAUAGAACAAAUACAAUAUACAAAUUAACUGAAUGUGUUUGUCAUAACUACUUUCCAAAGGCUGGCGGGAUGAAACUCCCGCCCCUGACUCUUAACAAUCACGACGUUGAGGCGGUAACGCUUCCUUACCCUCACCACAAAGCACGUUACAAUCCUCGGUGUACGGACAAGUGUCAAAAUUGUUAUGGAGGUGUUAGGCGACGGAGACAAGGACAUAAGAAAAUAGGGAAAGUUACAGGAAACCGCCAGGUCUUCACGUAGCAGUCCUUGUAUGAAAUAUAUCUACCUAUCUUCGUUUAUUCUUAUCCAUAAAGGAGACUAAUCUUUUAAAGUUCCCUAAUGACCCAGCACUAAUGAGACUCACUAAACCCUGCUGUACCCACCUGAGGCAUCCCGACGCUCAGAAAGAUCCCGAGGGCGUAGAAGACAGUGCGCGAAAAGCUGGCAUCCCAGGUCUCGUCGUGGAGCAUCAAGCGCGCGGCAACGGAGGCCACGUACAGGAGCGCCGUCCCCACCGGCAGGAACACCAUCGUCAGGAUCCAAACCUAGGAAGGCACCGAGCAGAACCGGCUUGUGUGUUUCCUGAAAUGCUUAUUUGCUUCUUAAAGGAAUGGAAUGCUACACAUAACUUUGUCUUCACUUCCAUCUUCAUGACAUCUCUGUAAUCAUGUGAGAAAUUAAGUGAAAUAUCACAUGAAAAGGAAAAGAACAUUAUAUAAAAUUAAAAGAACGUAAUACAAAACAAUAUCAUUAUACAAUAUUAGAUAUAAGAACUUCUCCCCUUAAAAAAAAAAAAAUCAAACAUGAUUGGAAGCAGCCGGACUAAACCAGUGACUUCCACCAACUCACUUUGUAACGUCAGCAACGGUCAGUGUCAGUGUGGUCACUUGCUGGCAAUCCCUACAACAAUGAAUCCACAGAAAUGUAAGUAUCUAUUUUUUCUUGUUAAUUAACUAUAAGAUAUUUCUGUCAGGACACUAUCGAUAAUUUUUUUAUCAUCUAAGUCACUUCUAUCUUACAUAUCAACUCGCAGUCAUGUCCACAGCCCAGUGUAACGAGCCUCGUGACUCAGGCAUUGACGACCGUGAGGUGAGUGUUAUCUUCCAGUUACCUGCAGGCUGAAGGGGUAGGAGAGUGCCACCCACUGCGGCAGAGGCUCCGGCAGAGGAGUGAUGAAGCAGCCGAACUCCAUAUCGUACGGCACCGUCAUGUCCACCACCUGAGGGCGAGUGUUGGGAGAGGCGGAGCGGUGUAAUGCGAAACUGGGCAAAAGGUUCAGCGAUCAAAGUGAUUAUCUAUGAAACAACGACUGCUACUAUAAUCGUAAUCCUAUCACACACACACACACACGCACACACACACACACACAUGGACAGACAUACACAAAGGUACACACUCCAAACCAUGUAACAUUGUGCGGUGCGUCCACUUAUCUCUCAAGCAUCAUGCUGAAGCAACAGAAUCAGAAGCAUGUCUGUCGCAGGAAAGGUGCUAUGAAUACUUUAUGUUCGGGUUUGACAAUGAAAGAUAUACCGUAAUUUACUUCAGCAUAGGAUAACCACUAGCCAUCCGUCUUACUAGUCCUAUCUGGGACCGCUAACCUCCAAGUAGUGGAUGUGGAUGAAGAGGUUGGCGACGCCCAUGUGCGCACGGCGUUGCGUCAGGUCGCCGGUGAGACCCGUCCAGGUGCCGUUGUCGAGCGGCGACCCCCACUUCCCUCCGUCCGAGGGAUUCACGAUCUUCAGCCGAAAAUUGAGCGCAUCGGCCAGAAUGUACAGUAGACGAAUGUCGAUCCCUGAGAAGUGAGUCAACACCUGCUGAACUUAUUUGUAAUUUGAUCAACAGACGGUGAAGUGACUGUGAAUUAACAGUACUGCGUCACUUUAACAUCUAACCUUCAGCUAAGUGAUCAUUGGAGCCUUUGACCUGUGUCUCUCAAAGCUGAGGACGUGCAGAUGAGCUGCCGCCAGGACUCACCGUCAUAAUGGUGCCCGUCAGAGUGCCCCUCCACCUCCACGAUUGAUGGCGCGUGUUCAAACGUAACCGCACGAAGCUCGUUGCCGUGGAAAUUUUCUAGCUUGUUGGGGAAGAGAUGGGCCCCGAGCUGCGCCACGCCGCGCCGCCACUUCUCCACCCGGUGAACUCGCUCAGGCACGUCUUCCCGAAACACCUCGUGACUCCACACAUCGUAGCUCGAAUUCCGCUUGGCCCCGUUAGACUGACACACACACACACACACACACACACACACACACACACAUAUAAUUAGUGUACGUAAGAUUCAGCUGACUACGUGGAGUGUAUUUUUUUUUUUUUCACCAACUCCUUUUACAAAAUUAAUGUAGUUCAUCUUUAUACUAUUUCAUUUGUAUAUUUCUCUAAAUGCUGUCUGUAUCACUAAUUGAAGAGAUGUCAUGACUCCCUCACCAAGUCACCGGGCUGUGUUUUUCCUCAAG